rnacentral:rRNA from 1 species
GCCAGCAGCCGCGGUAACACCGGCGGCCCGAGUGGUGAUCGUGAUUAUUGGGUCUAAAGGGUCCGUAGCCGGUUUGGUCAGUCCUCCGGGAAAUCUGAUAGCUCAACUAUUAGGCUUUCGGGGGAUACCGCCAGACUUGGAACCGGGAGAGGUAAGAGGUACUACAGGGGUAGGAGUGAAAUCUUGUAAUCCCUGUGGGACCACCUGUGGCGAAGGCGUCUUACCAGAACGGGUUCGACGGUGAGGGACGAAAGCUGGGGGCACGAACCGGAUUAGAUACCCGGGUAGUCCCAGCCGUAAACGAUGCUCGCUAGGUGUCAGGCAUGGCGCGACCGUGUCUGGUGCCGCAGGGAAGCCGUGAAGCGAGCCACCUGGGAAGUACGGCCGCAAGGCUGAAACUUAAAGGAAUUGGCGGGGGAGCACAACAACGGGUGGAGCCUGCGGUUUAAUUGGACUCAACGCCGGACAACUCACCGGGGGCGACAGCAAUAUGUAGGCCAAGCUGAAGACUUUGCCUGAAUCGCUGAGAGGAGGUGCAUGG